CUGGCGCACACAUGAUGUAGCCUUUUUGGUAGAUGACCAAUUAUAGUUAGCCACAUCAGCUUUUGUAAGGGAUUUGACCAAUGAGAGAGCUAGGUCACACGUAUGAGUUGUGUCAGGGAUGGGGCGAGCUGCAACACAUGUGCGGAUUUGUCUUGGACGGCGUGAACAAUGUCAUGAAUCGCGCGUUAAAGUUAACGGUUUUUUAUUUCACUUGUAACGGCUAGAAAAUGAUAAAUCUUUGCUAUCCCAUUGGCGUGUGUGUAAUAAUAACCUAAAGGAAUAAGGGACCGGAUUUAAUGUUGUAAUAGAAAUGAAAUGAUAUUAUUGCAUUUAUAUGAAAAUCUGAGGUGAGUUAUCAGUGCGGGUUCUCAAUUUUUUCUCGAUAUCUUAGCUUACUCAAAACUUUAUGCCUUUGUUAUUCAUGUAAUUUUUUUUGGUUAAUCCUCUUUUUAUGUCACGAUAGUUUAAGACAAUGACAAGUUUUUCCGGCAUAAAUUUUAAACCACUGAGAAAAAAGACUAUUAAUAUUUGAAAAGUAUAAUGCAAGUGCUUUUAAAAUAUAAAUUUAAGUACCCAAAAAAGGAGCUGUGACCCCAUAGAAGGCUAUGGUUGCACUUGUUCAAUAAGACGAUGAAAUGAUAAUAGUGGCCCAACGCGGUGUGAAGAAAUCAGAAAAUGAUGGGUUUGUGUUAAAAAGCCCAUAGAUAGUUGGGCCUUUAUGCCUAAGAAGCCCAGGAAGACAUAAGAAACUCAAAUCCCUCCGAAUUUUAAAAGUGUAAAGUGCAUCCAAAGAUAAAAGAGAAUAUUUGAACAGACAAGCUAAUCAUUAGGAGUAGCUAUGAAUUAUUUUUAGAAUCUUGGUAAGGUAAAGCAAACACAGUUCACAUAUUUAUUAGUAAGAAACAAAGAACUUAUAUAACUACCAUAUCAACAUCUUUUUCCAUUUUCUUGAGGUUCAAUAUCAACUUAUUAACAUCUAUGUUCAAUGUUCAUAUGCAUAACAGCAUGAUAGACCAUAAUGUAAUAAUUUUUCUUUUAUUUUUCAACUCUACCCAGAGAAUGCGACGAAACAGAGGACAAAAGCAUCGAAAGAAUAAAAAAGCAAAACUUGGUAAUGGUUGAUUGAAAAAAGAUAGGUGAGGUGGGCCGUAUAAUUGGAGUCCAAAAUAAAUAAUAAAUUAAAACGCUAUAAUACUUUUCUGUCUCCUCCUCCUU